GAUGAAGAACGCAGCGAAAUGCGAUAAGUAAUGUGAAUUGCAGAAUUCAGUGAAUCAUCGAAUCUUUGAACGCACAUUGCGCCCGCCAGUAUUCUGGCGGGCAUGCCUGUCUGAGCGUCAUUUCAACCCUCAUGCCCCUAGGGCGUGGUGUUGGGGAUCGGCCAAAGCCCGCGAGGGACGGCCGGCCCCUAAAUCUAGUGGCGGACCCGUCGUGGCCUCCUCUGCGAAGUAGUGAUAUUCCGCAUCGGAGAGCGACGAGCCCCUGCCGUUAAACCCCCAACUUUCCAAGGUUGACCUCAGAUCAGGUAGGAAUACCCGCUGAAAUUAAGCAUAUCAAUAAGCGGAGGA
rnacentral:misc_RNA from 1 species